CCUUCAUCAAUAAAGUGCUGAGGCGAGGAUUUUAUUAUGGUUUCAUAAUUUGUUUACAUAUUUUUACAGUGAUAUGUACAUUGAAUUAAAUUAAGCUGUUCUUUAGCUGGCCUUGGGGCACCUAGUACACAAAGUAAAGUUUCUACCUCUUAAUAAUGAGAUUAAAAUGUCUGGUUGUUAUCGGUUAUGAUAUAGGAUUAAGCUUUUCAUGUGUUCAGUAUAAGCAAGCGAUUAAUUUUUUCAUUAUUUAGUGUUCUACUAGCCAGUUGUGUCAGUUCUUCUUGUGAUUCCUUCACCUUUCCUCAUGCUAGCUAUAUCAUAUAAACAUCCCACUGGAUAUUGAACACUUGAUUAGAAGAGAAAAACAACUUCUUGUACCACCAGUGUCUAAUAUUGGAAGGGAAUGGCUAGUUGCAAACACAGCUCAAAAUCGAAAGAUAUUUACAACAUAUCUUAAAUCUGCUCCCGUUCAUAUCUUUGGAUUCUAUUAAGGCUGUAUCAACUUGCAAGCUAGCUGUAAAAAUGCGAUUUGGUAAUAAGAAAGAGUUCUUCCUUGUAAUCAUGAUAUUAGUAAUCAUCUAGUCUUUCAAUCUUCUUUAAUCAUAUUGCUUUGGUUGAUAACACCUUUUUAUUCUUUUUUUUGGGGUCUCUGUGUGUGUGGAAAGAAACUUAAAAUUUAAUAAAGCUAAGAAUCCAAUUCCCCCAUUUGCUUUCAUAGUAUAAGUAGUGGCCAUGAAAGUACUUUUUAUAAAAAUGGUUUGCACUUAAUGUGCCACAAUCAUUGAUGAUAAAUAUUUCUUCGAACAGCAGUAUCACUAAAUUAAUUUAGACCUUGAUGCGUCUACAUUAAUUCAUCACCUAUAGUUUAGUUUUGCAUUAGGCCAGUGCGGUUUCCCUCAAAUCAAACAUAUGUACGCGGGGUCCUGUUGAAGUCAUUUUCCAUCAAUAUUCAUGGUUUCCAUAAUCUUUUUUAGGGCUCAUUUUUUUUUUUAAUUUCCAUUUUUGAUACACCAUCAUAUUCCUUUUCCCAAAAUGACAACCCUUCAUGCUUUCAUCUGCCUUUCGCUUUUGUUUGAGAUCCUAAUGUGUGAAGAACUUAGAACCCAAAUUAAACCUAAUCAAUUAGAUGGCUAAUUUGGUUCCUCUAAAUUACUCUCAUGGUUUAAAUUUUAAAGGGGUCCCUAAUGUCACUCCAAAGAGAAGAUAUAAAGGGGGAAAAAAAAAGGAAUACAAAGUUGUUGGCUGGGGAAUAUUUGCCUUGAUGUUAUAUAUUAUUGAUAAUAUUGUUUAAAGCAGAUAAAAUCUAGUGCUGAAUAAGUUGUAUAGAUUAGCACAUCAAACAUUCGGUGAAUUAUUAAAAUGAAAAUGAUGGAUAUCUAGUGAGUUCCCACACAAUUUGUUCUCCAUAUCUCAAACACCCCACUAGCUUCACAAAAUAAAGAAAAAAUAGGAGACCAGUGGGCACAUCUAGUGAUGCAGCAACAGCAGAAUUUGAAGAUCGCACUCAAUAUUUUCUGAAGAAAAUAAAAUUGCAUGCUCUUGCUCUAGUUCCUUACCCGGCCAGCAACCUGGACUUUUCCAUGUCUCCAGGCUAAUCAAUUUUAUCACUCACCGUUUUGAAGAAGAAAUUUGAAGCUACUGGCUGUACUGGUCUACAAUAAUCAGCUAAUGGCUUUGGAAAGCCAGUCAAGCAAGGCAAAAAUUUCCCCCUUAAAUAUAUUGAUAUUUAAGAUCAAAAGUCAAAACCCUGCUUAGAUGGUUGAUAGCUCGAAUAUGACGCAGUCUAAAUGUUCAGACGUGGAAUAAAUAAUCUGCUUUGAAAAAUAUUCUUAACAACAGAAACGGAGGCUAGAACUAAAGUGGUGUAUUAAUUUAUCAGUUAUCAGCUAACUGAUUAGUGGUUACGGCACAAGUUGGGCGGACCAAUAAGUGUAUGUAUAGUUGAAGAAUUGGAAGAGUGUGCUAGAUUUAGCGUUUAAGUCUUAAGAUAACUUUUGACCCUUUAGACACUCAAGAGAGGUGGUUUAUAUCGGUUUAAGAGAGUUAAAAACUAAUUCUCUGUUUCUACCUCUUAAUAAUGAGAUUAAAAUGUCUGGUUGUUAUCGGUUAUGAUAUAGGAUUAAGCUUUUCAUGUGUUCAGUAUAAGCAAGCGAUUAAUUUUUUCAUUAUUUAGUGUUCUACUAGCCAGUUGUGUCAGUUCUUCUUGUGAUUCCUUCACCUUUCCUCAUGCUAGCUAUAUCAUAUAAACAUCCCACUGGAUAUUGAACACUUGAUUAGAAGAGAAAAACAACUUCUUGUACCACCAGUGUCUAAUAUUGGAAGGGAAUGGCUAGUUGCAAACACAGCUCAAAAUCGAAAGAUAUUUACAACAUAUCUUAAAUCUGCUCCCGUUCAUAUCUUUGGAUUCUAUUAAGGCUGUAUCAACUUGCAAGCUAGCUGUAAAAAUGCGAUUUGGUAAUAAGAAAGAGUUCUUCCUUGUAAUCAUGAUAUUAGUAAUCAUCUAGUCUUUCAAUCUUCUUUAAUCAUAUUGCUUUGGUUGAUAACACCUUUUUAUUCUUUUUUUUGGGGUCUCUGUGUGUGUGGAAAGAAACUUAAAAUUUAAUAAAGCUAAGAAUCC
rnacentral:lncRNA from 1 species